CGGGGCGUAGCGUAGCCCGGUUAGCGCGCUGGCCUGGGGGGCCAGAGGUCGCCGGUUCGAAUCCGGCCGCCCCGA
rnacentral:tRNA from 1 species